CAAUAGCGUAUAUUAAAGUUGUUGCAGUUAAAAAGCUCGUAGUUGGAUUUCUGGUGGGAGCGAUCGGUCUGGCGCUUAGCGCGAGUACUUGCAUCGUCUCCGGCCAUCCUUGGGGAAAGUCUGUCUGGCAUUAAGUUGUCGGGCAGAGGAUCCUCAUCGUUUACUGUGAAAAAAUUAGAGUGUUCAAAGCAGGCUUAUGCCGUUGAAUAUAUUAGCAUGGAAUAAUAAGAUAGGACUUUGGUACUAUUUUGUUGGUUUGCGCACCAAAGUAAUGAUUAAUAGGGACAGUUGGGGGUAUUCGUAUUCCGUUGUCAGAGGUGAAAUCCUUGGAUUUACGGAAGACGAACUACUGCGAAAGCAUUUACCAAGGAUGUUUUCAUUAA
rnacentral:rRNA from 1 species